AGUUCGGAUUGUAGGCUGAAACUCGCCUACAUGAAGCUGGAGUUACUAGUAAUCGCAGAUCAGAAUGCUGCGGUGAAUGCGUUUCCGGGUCUUGUACACACCGCCCGUCACACCACGGAAGUUGGGGGCGCCCGAAGCCACUUAGCUAACCCUUUUGGGAAGCGAGUGUCGAAGGUGAAAUCAAUAACUGGGGUGAAGUCGUAACAAGGUACC
rnacentral:rRNA from 1 species